rnacentral:rRNA from 1 species
GAUGAACGCUGGCUACAGGCUUAACACAUGCAAGUCGAGGGGAAACGACGGGGAAGCUUGCUUCCCCGGGCGUCGACCGGCGCACGGGUGAGUAACGCGUAUCCAACCUGCCUCUGACUGAGGGAUAACCCGUCGAAAGUCGGCCUAAUACCUCAUGGCAUCGUCUGCGGGCAUCCAACGACGAUUAAAGAUUUCAUCGGUCAGGGAUGGGGAUGCGUCUGAUUAGCUUGUUGGCGGGGUAACGGCCCACCAAGGCUACGAUCAGUAGGGGUUCUGAGAGGAAGGUACCCCACAUUGGAACUGAGACACGGACCAAACUCCUACGGGAGGCAGCAGUGAGGAAUAUUGGGCAAUGGUCGGGAGCCUGAACCAGCCAAGUAGCGUGCAGGAUGACGGCCCUAUGGGUUGUAAACUGCUUUUAGGCGGGGAUAAAGUGAGGGACGUGUCCUUCAUUGCAGGUACCGCAUGAAUAAGGACCGGCUAAUUCCGUG